AUUGAACGCUGGCGGCAGGCCUAACACAUGCAAGUCGAACGAGUGGCGGACGGGUGAGCAAUGUCUGGGAAACUGCCUGAUGGAGGGGGAUAACUACGGAAACGGUAGCUAAUACCGCCUACCAAUCGAUGUGACCAGAUGGGAUUAGCUAGUUGGUGGGGUAACGGCUCACCAAGGAGACCAUCCCUAGCUGGUUUGAGAGGAUGACCAGCCACACUGGAACUGAGACACGGUCCAGACUCCUACGGGAGGCAGCAGUGGGGAAUAUUGCACAAUGGGCGCAAGCCUGAUGCAGCCAUGCCGCGUGUAUGAAGAAGGCCUUCGGGUUGUAAAGUACUUUCAGCGGGGAGGCGUUACCCGCAGAAGAAGCACCGGCUAACUCCGUGCCAGCAGCCGCGGUAAUAC
rnacentral:rRNA from 1 species